UGACCUCAAAUCAGGUAGGAUUACCCGCUGAACUU
rnacentral:rRNA from 2 species